rnacentral:rRNA from 1 species
CCUACGGGAGGCAGCAGUGGGGGAUAUUGCACAAUGGGGGAAACCCUGAUGCAGCGACGCCGCGUGAGUGAAGAAGUAUUUCGGUAUGUAAAGCUCUAUCAGCAGGGGAGAAAAAAGACGGUACCUGACUAAGAAGCCCCGGCUAACUACGUGCCAGCAGCCGCGGUAAUACGUAGGGGGCAAGCGUUAUCCGGAUUUACUGGGUGUAAAGGGCGCGUAGACGGGAAUACAAGUCGGAGGUGAAAUACCCGGGCUCAACCUGGGAAGUGCUGUGGAAACUGUAUGGCUAGAGUGCUGGAGAGGUAAGCGGAAUGCGUAGUGUAGCGGUGAAAUGCGUAGAUAUUAGGAGGAACACCAGUGGCGAAGGCGACUUACUGGACAGUAACUGACGUUGAGGCUCGAAAGCGUGGGGAGCAAACAGGAUUAGAUACCCUUGUAGUC